rnacentral:rRNA from 1 species
GAUGAACGCUGGCGGCGUGCCUAAUACAUGCAAGUCGAGCGAACAGACGAGGAGCUUGCUCCUCUGAUGUUAGCGGCGGACGGGUGAGUAACACGUGGAUAACCUACCUAUAAGACUGGGAUAACUUCGGGAAACCGGAGCUAAUACCGGAUAAUAUUUUGAACCGCAUGGUUCAAAAGUGAAAGACGGUUUUGCUGUCACUUAUAGAUGGAUCCGCGCUGCAUUAGCUAGUUGGUAAGGUAACGGCUUACCAAGGCAACGAUGCAUAGCCGACCUGAGAGGGUGAUCGGCCACACUGGAACUGAGACACGGUCCAGACUCCUACGGGAGGCAGCAGUAGGGAAUCUUCCGCAAUGGGCGAAAGCCUGACGGAGCAACGCCGCGUGAGUGAUGAAGGUCUUCGGAUCGUAAAACUCUGUUAUUAGGGAAGAACAAAUGUGUAAGUAACUAUGCACGUCUUGACGGUACCUAAUCAGAAAGCCACGGCUAACUACGUG